GCCGCCGUCGAAGGUGGCCGAGGUCUGGUACGGCUACGGCCCGUCGGCCGAGUUCCCGGAACUCGGUGAAGGCGGUUCGGCGCCGAUGGGCGGCCC
rnacentral:tRNA from 1 species